UACGAAGGGGGCUAGCGUUGCUCGGAAUCACUGGGCGUAAAGGGUGCGUAGGCGGGUCUUUAAGUCAGAGGUGAAAUCCUGGAGCUCAACUCCAGAACUGCCUUUGAUACUGAGGAUCUUGAGUCCGGGAGAGGUGAGUGGAACUGCGAGUGUAGAGGUGAAAUUCGUAGAUAUUCGCAAGAACACCAGUGGCGAAGGCGGCUCACUGGCCCGGUACUGACGCUGAGGUGCGAAAGCGUGGGGAGCAAACAGG
rnacentral:rRNA from 1 species